UACAGAGGGUGCAAGCGUUGCUCGGAUUUACUGGGCGUAAAGCGUACGCAGACGGUCACGCAGGUCGGAUGUGAAAGCCCCGGGCUCAACCCGGGAACUGCAUUCGAAACCAUGUGACUUGAGGAUGGUAGAGGAGAGCGGAAUUCCCGGUGUAGAGGCGAAAUUCGUAGAUAUCGGGAGGAACACCAGUGGCGAAAGCGGCUCUCUGGCCCAUUUCUGACGUUCAGGUACGAAAGCGUGGGGAGCAAACAGG
rnacentral:rRNA from 1 species